GACAGCUGCUGUUAAAGCCCUCAUAAUACUGUCAAAGCUAUCCACCGGGUUGGCAGAUGGGGCCCAGCCCAAAUCCUGAGACUGAUAAGACAGAGGGUGUAGGAACCCUACCACCAGCCAACAGAGGCUUAUGGACUUUGGAGAAAGAAGGCAGAGGACCUGUUGAGUUGGAAGAAAAGGCUGGAUAGCGAGGAGAACUGGUCAUUCAAGCUGGAGAAAAGGGCUUUUUAAGUUUUGGAUAACAAUAAAUAGAAAUUUGCGAGCAAGAAAGAGACUUCCCCAAAGUGUUGCUGCAGGGUCCAGGGAUAAUAGGGAAAAACCUUCAACCAAGGGGGACUAUGGCACAGGCAAAGAUUCCAUCAUAGUUACUCUGUCUCCCAAAUACUCUCGUCCCAGAAAACAUCACAAUGGCACAUGAUGAAACCCUCUCUACUCAACUCCCAUCCAAUAGCAUGGACUCUGGAUAAACAGUCCUACAAGAAGAACGAUGCAGCAACAUAACAGGAGUAGAGGACAGAUGAGCCUCGUGACAUCACUACGACCAACAGCUACAGUAACGGGACGUUUAAAGACACUCGCUCACAGUCACAACCAUCCACACCAAAAUCUCUAGCAGGAACAAAAGAAAGAUAAAAACAUAUUUUCUAUCAACUUGGCUCUACAACUUGCUUUUACUGAAUUUUCUUUGCAGUCAUCUCCCUUGAUGAAAAAGAAGACCUAUGUCACAACAAAGGGAAAGUACUGAGUGUUAUUGCCAUUUUCUCUGUCUGUCUGGCCGUCCGGCUGGCCGUCCGUCUUUUCGUCCAUCUGUCACACCCUUGUAGAGGCAUAACUUCAAAAAAAAAAAACCUUGUCUACAGAUAGAUAGCAAUGAGAGGAAGUCAGUGCAAAUGAACCAUAAUCUUGCUGUGCAUAUUGAUUAAGUUAUUCCCCCUUUUUCAUAAUUGAUGCCUGCACACUCUUUGUUCUGAGAAUAAUAUCAAGACAACUGAUGGGAUUGAAAUAAAACUUGGCAUAUAUCUAUAUAGAUGGCAUUGAUAAGGGAGUGCAGUGCACAAGAAUCAUAAUCAAAUCAUGCAUCUUUAUAAAGUUAUUUCCCCUUGACCAUUUAAAAUAUAGAUAGAUGGCAAUGAGUGGAAGUGUGGUGCAUCAGAACCAUAAUCUUGUCCUGCAUAUGAUUUUUAGUUAUAUUCCUUUAAUUACCUCCCCAUAACCAUAUUGUUCAAUAAAGGGGUUGAAAUGAAACUUAAAAUGUAGAUAGAUGGAAAUUAAAUGAAGUGUAGUAUCCAAGAAUUAUAAUCCUAUACUUCAUAUAUGGGUGCUUGUCCAGGUCAUAUUUUGGAAUGUAUUGGAGGGAUUCAAAUGAAGAAACUUGGUAUAGAAAUAAAUGACAAUGACAGCAGGUGUAGUACCAAGAAAAAUGAUUCUGUCCUGUAUAUUUAUUUAGUUAUCUCCCCUAGGCCUGAUAUUUUUCCAUAACAGACGUUGUUCAGGCCAUUUCUUGAAAUGUUCUAUAGUGGUACAAAUGAAACUUGGUAUAAAGAUAGAUGGCCUAUGGCAUUAUAAAAUGUUGCACAUAUCUUUCCAUGUUAAGAUUUUUUCCAACCUCUGUAUAAUAAUAAUACAACCAUUCACCUUCUUCCAGCACAUUGUAUUACAAGUUCUGCCUUUUCAUUGAAAAUGGGCAUAUGGGGAGCAUCCAUUGCUUUCUGCGAUACUCUGUUGAAAUAUUGUUUACCAUAGAACUGGGUUUUUUUCACUUUGUGAUGAUGUUAUAUCAUUAUUAUUCAUAUUUUACAAUAAAGUAGUAUAUAAAAGGUGAGCGAGUCCCUUGAAAUGUAUGUUAGUCCAACUUCUGUUGGUAAAAUUUAAUUAUAUUAACAAUUAAAAUAUGAUGUCAGGAAAAUAUUUACACUUGUACUAGAUAUUAUUUUACCAAUCACAAAUAGAAAAAUAAAAUGUAGCAAAUUCUUUUUGUAAUCUGAUAUAAAAAAUAUAAAAUGUUUUAUCUAAUUUUCAGAUUUGAUGUGCCCUCCUUGGUAUUGACCAUUUCCCACCUGCUAUGAGCAUCAACCACAAACAGUGAUGUGCCCUCCAUGGAAUUGACCACCUGCUAUGAGCAUCAACUACAUGUUCAAGCAGUGUCAUUUGUUUAUUUAGACAAUGUAUUUUGUAUUGAUUGUUAUGUUGAAUAAAUUGAAGCAGUCUCCCAGCAAAAGGCUGGGAGAUAUGGUGCUGGAUGAGCCAUACCAUACAUUGUAUGACAGGCCAUCGAAUCUGUAUACGUAGUUAGGUGGAAUAGCUGGUCUUUAGAAACGUACUCACCUGUGCCCAGGAUGACCUCUUCUGUCGUCCCUCAUAUACCCAUAGAGGCAACCAUUUUAGAUCAAUUCUUUCACAAAUUGGUUAGAAUGGAUGCUUGAUAUAAUGUGGGCUUAAAAACUAGGUUGCAUGGUCAAUUUUCAUAACUUUGUGAGAUUAUCGGAAUGUAUGCAUUAAUUAAAUGUUUAUUAAGUUCCAAUGAGUCACUAGAACAAAAUCUAUAGUCGUAUCUACGCAAUAGUGGUCACAAUGUGUGGAAGUGGUCCAGCUAGGCCUUUAUAGGACAUGCAUUAUUAAUAUUAUUUUCUAGCAGACCUUAAAUUACUUUAUUGUGAAAAAAAUGACGCAUUUUUGUACAUUGCACCAAAAAAAGUGCGUGCGAUGAUGUUUACUGACGUCGUGACGCGCAGUAAUUUUUAUUCACUGCAAACGUCAAGAAGGUCCUUCAAUAUAACGUCUUUUACAGGUUAUUUUGAUUUGUUCUGUAAUAAAAUAUAAAAACAUAAUUGAGUCACGGCGCGUGUCUCAUCUACCUUGCGGGUGCUAUAGUAUUCCAGCACGGCUGAAUUCACCGGAAAUGCCUAUCCGGUGUGCUAGAAUUGUGGUCUUCUCUUUCUGAAAGACGCCUUAUUGCUGAUUAAAAAAACUUUGUUUUCGUCUUUUAAGAACAAAAAUUGGUCUACUAAACAAUUCAAUUAAAUAAUUUCCUUUAAAACAUUUAUUCCCAACAGAUUUAGAAUUGGCAUCACUCAAAUUUAAUAACCUGUUUUGAUUAUUCAUAAAUAUAUCCACUACGAAUUGAUGAAUGUUUUACAUUUAAAAUCGAUUUAAAUGUGUAGUAAUGUAUACAUACAUCAAUAUUUAAAAUAAACUAUUGAGAUGUGUUUUCUUUGGACAGGCCUGCUUCUUUAAAGAUGAAACGUCGGUGAAUUGCUGAAACACACCAACGUGCACAAGUUUUCUAACACUAAUACCUGCGAUUC